UACGUAGGGUGCGAGCGUUAAUCGGAAUUACUGGGCGUAAAGCGUGCGCAGGCGGCUUCGCAAGUCAGGCGUGAAAUCCCCGGGCUUAACCUGGGAAUGGCGUCUGAAACUACGGAGCUGGAGUGUGGCAGAGGGAGGGUAGAAUUCCACGUGUAGCGGUGAAAUGCGUAGAUAUGUGGAGGAAUACCGAUGGCGAAGGCAGCCUCCUGGGCCAACACUGACGCUCAUGCACGAAAGCGUGGGGAGCAAACAGG
rnacentral:rRNA from 1 species